UACGAAGGGUGCAAGCGUUACUCGGAAUUACUGGGCGUAAAGCGUGCGUAGGUGGUUUGUUAAGUCUGAUGUGAAAGCCCUGGGCUCAACCUGGGAAUUGCACUGGAUACUGGCAGGCUAGAGUGCGGUAGAGGAUGGCGGAAUUCCCGGUGUAGCAGUGAAAUGCGUAGAGAUCGGGAGGAACAUCUGUGGCGAAGGCGGCCAUCUGGACCAGCACUGACACUGAGGCACGAAAGCGUGGGGAGCAAACAGGG
rnacentral:rRNA from 1 species